rnacentral:lncRNA from 1 species
CUUCACCAUGCCCUGACUGCUAGCAUAACAUGGAGUUCUCUUUUUUUAUUUUUUUUAUAAACCCAGUCACAACACGGAAAGAGGAGGAGGAGGAGGAGGAAGAGAGAGAAAGAGAGAACUAAACCCCCUGAAGGAUGGUUCUCAAAAAAUUCUGGCGGAACCACGGGGGACUCCUCGGCGAGCGGGAACCGGCCGCGGAGCCAUAAAGAAUAAAAGUACCACGGUGAUUGCUGAACAAAGCAGAUCCCGGGCGGCUGCUUGCGACUCUCAAUAGGAUUUAAAAUUCGUGCCCCGCUCCUGGCUGCGGCUGGCGGAGCGCCCUGCGUGCCGGUACAGAGGGGCUGCCGGGGGGGGCACGUCUCAGGUGACAUUCCCUUUAAAUUAAUGGCAAGAUUAAUAUUUCAUAUGCAGCAGACACAAACUUUC